rnacentral:rRNA from 1 species
AUGACGACCGGCGCACGGGUGCGUAACGCGUAUAGAACCUACCUUUUACAGAGGGAUAGCCUUUAGAAAUGAAGAUUAAUACCUCAUAGUAUUGCGAUUUGGCAUCAAGUUGUAAUUAAAGAUUUAUCGGUAAAAGAUGGCUAUGCGUCCUAUUAGUUAGUUGGUAAGGUAACGGCUUACCAAGACAUCGAUAGGUAGGGGUCCUGAGAGGGAGAUCCCCCACACUGGUACUGAGACACGGACCAGACUCCUACGGGAGGCAGCAGUGAGGAAUAUUGGACAAUGGAGGGAACUCUGAUCCAGCCAUGCCGCGUGCAGGAAGACUGCCCUAUGGGUUGUAAACUGCUUUUAUACAGGAAGAAACACUAGUACGUGUACUAGCUUGACGGUACUGUAAGAAUAAGGACCGGCUAACUCCGUGCCAGCAGCCGCGGUAAUACGGAGGGUCCGAGCGUUAUCCGGAAUCAUUGGGUUUAAAGGGUCCGCAGGCGGUCGAUUAAGUCAGAGGUGAAAUCCCAUAGCUUAACUAUGGAACUGCCUUUGAUACUGGUUGACUUGAGUCAUAUGGAAGUAGAUAGAAUGUGUAGUGUAGCGGUGAAAUGCAUAGAUAUUACACAGAAUACCGAUUGCGAAGGCAGUCUACUACGUAUGUACUGACGCUCAUGGACGAAAGCGUGGGGAGCGAACAGGAUUAG